UGCCUUAGUAACGGCGAGUGAAGCGGCAACAGCUCAAAUUUGAAAUCUGGCGCUUGCGCCCGAGUUGUAAUUUGCAGAGGAUGCUUUCAGGCGACGUGCCUUCCGAGUUCCCUGGAACGGGACGCCAUAGAGGGUGAGAGCCCCGUACGGUCUGGCGCCGAGCCGCUGUAAAGCUCCUUCGACGAGUCGAGUAGUUUGGGAAUGCUGCUCUAAAUGGGAGGUAAACUCCUUCUAAAGCUAAAUAUUGGCCAGAGACCGAUAGCGCACAAGUAGAGUGAUCGAAAGAUGAAAAGCACUUUGGAAAGAGAGUUAAAUAGCACGUGAAAUUGCUGAAAGGGAAGCGCUUAUGACCAGACUUGGGCUUGGUGGUUCAGCCGUCCUUUUGGGCGGUGUAUUCUGCCGGUUCAGGCCAGCAUCAGUUGCCGGUUGGGGAGAAAGACGGUGGGAAUGUGGCUCUUCGGAGUGUUAUAGCCCGCUGUUAUGCCCUUCUGGCGACUGAGGUUAGCGUUCUUCACGGAUGCUGGCGUAAUGGUCAUCAGCGACCCGUCUUGAAACACGGACCAAGGAGUCGUCCUGCUAUGCGAGUGUUUGGGUGUAAAACCCCUACGCGAAAUGAAAGUGAACGGAGGUGAGAGCUUCGGCGCAUCAUCGACCGAUCCUGAUGUUCUCGGAUGGAUUUGAGUAAGAGCAUAGCGCGCCGGACCCGAAAGAAGGUGAACUAUGCAUGGAUAGGGCAAAGCCAGAGGAAACUCUGGUGGAGGCUCGCAGCGGUUCUGACGUGCAAAUCGAUCGUCAAAUCUGUGCAUGGGGGCGAAAGACUAAUCGAACCUUCUAGUAGCUGGUUUCCACCGAAGUUUCCCUCAGGAUAGCAGUGCUGAUUCUCAGUUUUAUGAGGUAAAGCGAAUGAUUAGGGACUCGGGGGCGCUAUUUAGCCUUCAUCCAUUCUCAAACUUUAAAUAUGUAAGAAGCCUUUGUUGCUUUAGUGAACGAAGGCAU
rnacentral:rRNA from 1 species